GAUAAAUCUUAAAGUUUUACAAAGAUACAAAGAAUGGUUAAGACUGCUUUCCUGAUUCCUACAGCAAAAAAAAACUAUAAAAUGCUGGUGGCAAUAUUUUAAAGAGUGCACCUGAUCGAAAAGAAGGUGAAUGAUGUCAACUGUUCGAACAUUCAAUUUUUGGAAAUUAACAAGUGGAAGAAGAAGUUUACAAAAUUGUAAUUUAUAAAACUCAGCACAAUUAUAUUAUUAAAAAAUUUAAACG